UCGUCAUCAGUCGACGGCAGACAUACGAACGAGAAGGUCGUUUUAAUCUCUCCUAGCAGUUUACUUAAAAAUUAUCUCAUACAGAUUUUGAUUUCAUUAGAUUCGAUCAGUUCUACUAAUUCAAAUCUCAACUUCUAUUUCCGAAGAUAUCACAAUUUACAUAUAUACAGAGUAAAAUUCGAGCUACGUAAGUACGCUUCUGAUAUGCAACAUCUUCAAAGGAUAAAUAAUAAAAAUUAUCGAAAGGACGAUUUCGAAGAAAAAGGAAAAGUGAAAGAUGUUGGAAGAGAUAGAUAUGAAAUGUCUCUACUUUAGAAAGGAUUAAAAUUUAAUUAAGGAUUACGUACGAUGGUAGAAAAGGAUAAAUUAUGGGAGUGUCGAAAAAGUUAGGGGAGAGGAAGAAGAAAAGAAAAAUCGUAGA